GACGAACGCUGGCGGCGUGCUUAACACAUGCAAGUCGAACGGAAAGGCCUGCUUUCCCUUGUGGAUUGCGGGUACUCGAGUGGCGAACGGGUGAGUAACACGUGAGUGGUCUGCCCCCAACUUGGGUAUAAGCCUGGGAAACUGGGUCUAAUUCCCGAUAGGACUGCAGGGUGGUGCCUGUGGUGGAAAACGAUUUUCUAGUGGUUGGGGAUGAGCUCGCGGCCUAUCAGCUUGUUGGUGGGGUAAUGGCCUACCAAGGCGGCGACGGGUAGCCGGCCUGAGAGGGUGGACGGGCACAUUGGGACUGAGAUACGGCCCAGACUCCUACGGGAGGCAGCAGUGGGGAAUAUUGCACAAUGGGCGGAAGCCUGAUGCAGCGACGCCGCGUGGGGGAUGACGGCCUUCGGGUUGUAAACUCCUUUCGACCGCGAGGAAGCCACCUGGUUGGAAGGGUGGUGACGGUAGUGGUAGAAGAAGCACCGGCUAACUACGUG
rnacentral:rRNA from 1 species